rnacentral:rRNA from 1 species
AGAGUUUGAUCAUGGCUCAGAGCGAACGCUGGCGGCAGGCCUAACACAUGCAAGUCGAGCGCCCCGCAAGGGGAGCGGCAGACGGGAGAGUAACACGUGGGAACGUGCCCUUCAGUUCGGAACAACCCAGGGAAACUUGGGCUAAUACCGGAUACGUCCGUAAGGGAAAGAUUUAUCGCUGAAGGAUCGGCCCGCGUCUGAUUAGCUAGUUGGUGGGGUAACGGCCCACCAAGGCGACGAUCAGUAGCUGGUCUGAGAGGAUGAUCAGCCUCACUGGGACUGAGACACGGCCCAGACUCCUACGGGAGGCAGCAGUGGGGAAUAUUGGACAAUGGGCGCAAGCCUGAUCCAGCCAUGCCGCGUGGAUGAUGAAGGCCCUAGGGUUGUAAAGUCCUUUCGGCGGGGAAGAUAAUGACGGUACCCGCAGAAGAAGCCCCGGCUAACUUCGUGCCAGCAGCCGCGGUAAUACGAAGGGGGCUAGCGUUGCUCGGAAUCACUGGGCGUAAAGCGCACGUAGGCGGCUUUUUAAGUCAGGGGUGAAAUCCUGGAGCUCAACUCCAGAACUGCCUUUGAUACUGAGAAGCUGGAGUCCGGGAGAGGUGAGUGGAACUGCGAGUGUAGAGGUGAAAUUCGUAGAUAUUCGCAAGAACACCAGUGGCGAAGGCGGCUCACUGGCCCGGUACUGACGCUGAGGUGCGAAAGCGUGGGGAGCAAACAGGAUUAGAUACCCCCGUAGUCC